CUUGUCGGGUAAGUUCCGACCCGCACGAAAGGCGUAAUGAUUUGGGCACUGUCUCAACGAGAGACUCGGUGAAAUUUUAGUACCUGUGAAGAUGCAGGUUACCCGCGACAGGACGGAAAGACCCCAUGGAGCUUUACUGCAGUUUGAUAUUGAGUAUCUGUACCACAUGUACAGGAUAGGUAGGAGCCAUUGACUUCGGGACGCCAGUUUCGAAUGAGGCGUUGUUGGGAUACUACCCUUGUGUCAUGGCUACUCUAACACAGAUAGGUUGUCCCU
rnacentral:rRNA from 1 species